rnacentral:rRNA from 1 species
AUUGAACGCUGGCGGCAGGCCUAACACAUGCAAGUCGAGCGGAUGAAGGGAGCUUGCUCCUGGAUUCAGCGGCGGACGGGUGAGUAAUGCCUAGGAAUCUGCCUGGUAGUGGGGGAUAACGUCCGGAAACGGGCGCUAAUACCGCAUACGUCCUGAGGGAGAAAGUGGGGGAUCUUCGGACCUCACGCUAUCAGAUGAGCCUAGGUCGGAUUAGCUAGUUGGUGGGGUAAGGGCCUACCAAGGCGACGAUCCGUAACUGGUCUGAGAGGAUGAUCAGUCACACUGGAACUGAGACACGGUCCAGACUCCUACGGGAGGCAGCAGUGGGGAAUAUUGGACAAUGGGCGAAAGCCUGAUCCAGCCAUGCCGCGUGUGUGAAGAAGGUCUUCGGAUUGUAAAGCACUUUAAGUUGGGAGGAAGGGCGGUAAGUUAAUACCUUGCUGUAUUGACGUUACCAACAGAAUAAGCACCGGCUAACUUCGUG